rnacentral:rRNA from 1 species
AUUGAACGCUGGCGGCAGGCCUAAUACAUGCAAGUCGAACGAGCGGCGGACGGGUGAGUAAUGUCUGGGAAACUGCCUGAUGGCGGGGGAUAACUACUGGAAACGGUAGCUAAUCCCGCAUACCAUCAGAUGUGCCCUGGUGGGAUUAGCUAGUAGGUGGGGUAACGGCUCACCUGGGCGACGAUCCCCAGCUGGUCUGCGAGGAUGACCGGCCAAACUGGAACUAGGACACGGUCCAGACUCCUACGGGAGGCAGAAGUGGGGAUUAUUGCACAAUGGGCGCAAGCCUGAUGCAGACAUGCCGCGUGUGUGAAGAAGGCCUUCGGGUUGAAAAGCACUUUCAGCGGGGAGGCGUUACCCGAAGAAGAAGCAACGGCUAACUCCGUGCCAGCAGCCGCGGUAAUAC